UUCUUCCUCUGCCUCAGCGGCCUCUGCUUCCCCCUCCACCACUGGGACUUCCUUGGCCACUGCCGGGAGUGAUCCUGGAAAGGGGGAUCCUAGUGGAACAAAUGUCAAAAUGGAGGAUAUACUGUGGUUACACAGAGCUGUCACUGUAUCCAAAAUCCUCAGGUGCUUGGGAUUCAAGGAGAAGCAUGGGAGUCGUCUCGUCAGUUCUGUGUGAGACUGCCCGGCGACCUGGUUGUGUCCAGCCUACAGACAGCUGCUGACUGUUCCAUCUCGUCAGUUCUAUGUGAGACUGCCCGGCGACCUGGUUGUGUCAGGCCUACAGACAGCUGCUGACCGUUCCGUCUAGUCAGUUCUGUGUGAGACUGGCCAGUGGAGGAGACCCGACCUACGCCUUCAAUGUCCACCUAACGGGGGAGGAGGUCCAUGGAACUAGUGGCUCCUUCCGACAGUUUUUAUGGCAAGCUGCCAAAGAAAUCAGUGGCCCCCUGGUGCGUUCACUGAUUCCCUGCAAUAACUCGGACAACAAAGGUCGCUACAUCUUCAGACCCGGCCCCAUGUCCUACCUAGAGGAAAGACUUCUACAGUUCUUUGGUCAAGUGCACAUGAUGCAGCUUCCUGGAUGGUGUAUAGGCGUUUGUUAACAUGUGAAACCCACGUGUAUUUUGGGGUAGUGUUGGACAACUGGAGCCUUGCCUUGUAUUUUUCUCAAACUGGAGCUGUUGGGAUUGAUUCCUGACACAUUUUCCCUAAAGGUGUCUUUCCAAGAAUUCUGAUGGAGCCUGGAGCAGAGUUUGGAGAUAUUUUAGCUUUCCGUGUUCUUCCAAGGAUUGUCUAUUGGUCUUGAGAUAGACUCGGGAGAUAUUUUCACUUUUCAUGUGAGAUAGACUCAGGAGAAAUUUUCGCUUUCCAUGUGAAAUAGACUCAGGAGAAAUUUUCGCUUUCCAUGUGAGAUAGACUCGGGAGAUAUUUUAACUUUCCGUGUUCUUCCAAGGAUUACCAUUUAGCCUAGAGCAGAGCAUUUUAUCCACCACAAUACUCUUUGACGGAACCUUAGACUUGAAUAUUGCAGAUAUUGGAUUUCAGAAUUUUUUCAAUUGAUAUUGUAUACUUUACAGUUUCUAUUAUAUAUCUGGGU